AAAGUGCGACAAGUGUCAUGACUUGCAGAUACCCGAGAGCUGACAAAUUUCUGAAUGCAAAUUGCAGCCAAGUUAACCUGGCUAUGUAUUGCAGAGAGUACUUCGCUUAUGCGCGCCAUCCAGGGGUGGUUCCAUUCCCUCUUGGGCUAUGUGCAGGCACAUUCUUAUAUGCGCCUGCUGAGCAUUGUGCCACUCCGACCUUGUGUCGGAUAAAAGGCCAACUCAAAUUAAAGAUAGAAAACCAACGAGUUUUCCCGGACAAUACCAUGAGAAAUACUUUCAUUGAAGCGUCAAACCUUCACACAUGAAUGUAUUCAUUCUCACCAUUCACCUCUGCAAUGCAGGAGAACCCGCUGAACUUAA
rnacentral:misc_RNA from 1 species